GCUCUGACAGUGAGACUGCCUGCUGCCUAUCUGCCACAUUAACCCGAUCACAGUCUCCAUUGAGGCAAUCUUGGGUUAAUUAUAGUAAAGGACAGAAAUUUUCCGCCUUGCGUCCUUAAGGGGAAGACUACAAUGACAAAAAAUUCCUGUCUUGCGUCGCGAAGGGAUUAACAAGCAUUUGGUCAUUCUAAAGCACAUACAUAGAUUUCAGUUCACCUACCCUUUGCCGGCACAUGGCAUUCCUGACAUCGGGUGUGCCCAUAAAUGGGGUGUGUUAUUUUGUUGUGCAUGCUAAAUGAUAAAGGGCUACCAAGGACUAGGGAUCGACCAAUUAUCGGUUUUACCGAUAUUAUCGGCCGAUAUUCGGUAUUUUUGGCAAUAUCGGUAUCGGCCAAUAAAGAUACCGAUAUUGCCGAUAAUACAUACCAGGACCACCGGGCCCAUUAGAAGCCUGGCAGUCC